rnacentral:rRNA from 1 species
GGGAUUGCCUCAGAAANGGCGAAUGAAGCGGCAACAGCUCAAAUUUGAAAUCUGGCCCCUUCGGGGUCCGAGUUGUAAUUUGUACAGAGUGUUUCGGGUGAGACCGCUCUAAGUCCAUUGGAACAUGGCGUCAUAGAGGGUGAGAAUCCCGUAUGUGACCGUGGAUCGAGCCCAUGUGAAGCCUCUUCGACGAGUCGAGUUGUUUGGGAAUGCAGCUCAAAAUGGGUGGUAAAUUUCAUCUAAAGCUAAAUACUGGCUGGAGACCGAUAGCGCACAAGUAGAGUGAUCGAAAGAUGAAAAGCACUUUGGAAAGAGAGUCAAACAGUACGUGAAAUUGUUGAAAGGGAAGCGCUUGCAACCAGACCUGUCCGUAGGUGAUCAGCCGCUGUUCUCAGUGGUGCACUCGCUCUGCGAUCAGGCCAGAAUCGGUUCCGGCGGUCGGAUAAAGGCCUUGGGAAUGUAGCUUCCUUCGGGGGAGUCUUAUAGCCCUCGGUGCAAUGCGGCCAGCCGGGACCGAGGACCGCGCUUCGGCUAGGAUGCGGGCGUAAUGGUUGUAAGCGACCCGUCUUGAAACACGGACCAAGGAGUCUAACAUCUAUGCGAGUGUUUGGGUGUYAAACCCUGCGCGGAAUGAAAGUGAACGGAGGUGAGAACCCUUAAGGGCGCAUCAUCGACCGAUCCAGAUGUCUUCGGAUGGAUUUGAGUAUGAGCAUAGCUGUUGGGACCCGAAAGGUACAUUUACCCCCCCUUUUAGUANUAAGAUUUAAGCUAACGUUUUYCGACAGAUGGUGAACUAUGCCUGAAUAGGGUGAAGCCAGAGGAAACUCUGGUGGAGGCUCGCAGCGGUUCUGACGUGCAAAUCGAUCGUCAAA